UACGUAGGGUGCAAGCGUUGUCCGGAAUUAUUGGCGUAAAGAGCUCGUAGGCGGUCUGUCGCGUCGGCUGUGAAAACCCGAGGCUCAACCUCGGGCCUGCAGUCGAUACGGGCAAACUAGAGUACUGCAGGGGAGACUGGAAUUCCUGGUGUAGCGGUGAAAUGCGCAGAUAUCAGGAGGGAACACCGGUGGCGAAGGCGGGUCUCUGGGCAGUAACUGACGC
rnacentral:rRNA from 1 species